GAUGAACGCUGGCGGCGUGCCUAAUACAUGCAAGUCGAGCGAACGGACGAGAAGCUUGCUUCUCUGAUGUUAGCGGCGGACGGGUGAGUAACACGUGGAUAACCUACCUAUAAGACUGGGAUAACUUCGUGAAACCGGAUCUAAUACCGGAUAAUAUUUUGAACCGCAUGGUUCAAAAGUGAAAGACGGUCUUGCUGUCACUUAUAGAUGGAUCCGCGCUGCAUUAGCUAGUUGGUAAGGUAACGGCUUACCAAGGCAACGAUGCAUAGCCGACCUGAGAGGGUGAUCGGCCACACUGGAACUGAGACACGGUCCAGACUCCUACGGGAGGCAGCAGUAGGGAAUCUUCCGCAAUGGGCGAAAGCCUGACGGAGCAACGCCGCGUGAGUGAUGAAGGUCUUCGGAUCGUAAAACUCUGUUAUUAGGGAAGAAAAUAUGUGUAAGUAACUGUGCACAUCUUGACGGUACCUAAUCAGAAAGCAACGGCUAACUACGUG
rnacentral:rRNA from 1 species